AUCUCUAAGUUCUGAAAGAGGCUUGCUAUUGGAGGUAGUCAACGAAGAGUCACGAGUGAAGCUUCAGCAUCGGAUCGGAGGUCGUUCGAAGUACCAUUGUCGCACUGCAGCACCAUCGUCGGAGGUAUUUGGGGACAAACAUGGCAACAUCUUACAUUUAUACGAAAGAGACUGCAGUGUGCAGAGAAGACAUCAGAAAAUAAUUGAAGAAGCUCCAGCUCCAAAUGUCCUGAAUGACUUUCGUUCUCAUGUGGGUCAUGCUGCUGUAUGUGCGACC